rnacentral:rRNA from 1 species
AACGAACGCUGGCGGCAUGCCUAACACAUGCAAGUCGAACGAGACCUUCGGGUCUAGUGGCGCACGGGUGCGUAACGCGUGGGAACCUGCCCUGAGGUGCGGAAUAACUCCCCGAAAGGGGUGCUAAUACCGGAUAAUGUCUUCGGACCAAAGAUUUAUCGCCUUUGGAUGGGCCCGCGUUGGAUUAGCUAGUUGGUAGGGUAAAAGCCUACCAAGGCGACGAUCCAUAGCUGGUCUGAGAGGAUGAUCAGCCACACUGGGACUGAGACACGGCCCAGACUCCUACGGGAGGCAGCAGUGGGGAAUAUUGGACAAUGGGCGAAAGCAUGAUCCAGCACUGCCGGGUGAGUGAUGAAGGCCUUAGGGUUGUAAAGCUCUCUUACCCGGGAUGAUAAUGACAGUACCGGGAGAAUAAGCUCCGGCUAACUACGUG